rnacentral:lncRNA from 10 species
CUGCAAGCUCCGCCUUCUGGGUUCAGGCCAUUCUCCUGCCUCAGCCUCCCGAGUAGCUGGGAGUAGAGGCGCCCGCCACCACACCUGGCUAACUUUUUGUAUUUUUAGUGGAGAGGGAGUUUCACCGUUUUAGACAGGAUGGUCUCGAUCUCCUGACCUCCUGAUCCACCCGCCUCUGCCUGCCAAAGUGCUGGGAUUACAGACGUGAGCCACCGCGCCCGGCUGUUUUCUUUUUUUUAACAGUAGGAAAACACAAGCGUGAAGCCUCCAUUUGGGAAGCCUGCAGAAGCCCCAAUCCAAUCACAGCACUGCCAGAGGAUCUUAGAAGUUGAAUAUCAAUUUAAUAACACAUCCUGUUUGAGAUUGGGUUCUAACUAUAUUGCCCAAGCUAGAUUCAAACUCUUGGGCUCAAGUGAUCCUCCUGCCUAAGACUCCUUAGUAGCUUGGAACUUCAGAACCAUCUGUCAAUGGCUACUUCAUACUUUAGAUGCUCCAAGAGGAAAAAGUCAUUUCAGAAUUGUAUCCAUAACCCAGUUUCAUUGAAGAUGGAGUCUUCCUUCAGAUUUUCUACAUAGACAAUUAUACCUCUGUGAACAAAGACAGUUUAUUUCUUCCUUCCCAGCAUAAGAUCUGAGAAACACUUCAUGGAAGGACUAGAAUUUCAAGAAUGAAUUCAGGAAAAAUUAAAAGAGAAAAAAAUCCUAGGCAAGUAAAAUGACAUGAGCAAAAGAACAGAAAAGACAAAGGUUCUGUUUAUACCAUUGAUUGACUUGGUUGAAGAGAUAAAACAAUAUUUAAACAGUUUGAAAGGUCUAUGUGAAAUUGGGAACAUAACUAAAUGGUAGGAGUGACUAAAGCCAAAUUGGGUAAUAAUACGGAAUUGUGAUGAUGUCUUGUAAGUGAAUGUGUUCCAGGGACUUAGAGUUGAUGAUUGAAGUAUAGGUGAGAUGACCAACCUUAGCUCUAAUUCUGUGAGCAUAUUGUUUGUGUCUUCCCCAUUAAGACAUUGACUAUGUUUGAAAUUCUAAUUGCCUGAGUGUUUCUACUAACAGGAUGUACCUUGUACAAUUGCUAUCCCUUAUAGCUGACCUCAACUAGAAAAGGAUGUCCCAGGCUCUUUACUUCUUGUGUGAGAUAUCUCUGAGGAGUCUUCUGCACUGACUCCCAGAAUCCUCAACAG